GACGAACGCUGGCGGCGUGCUUAACACAUGCAAGUCGAACGGAGCACUUCGGUGCUUAGUGGCGAACGGGUGAGUAACGCGUGAGGAACCUGCCUUUCAGUGGGGGACAACAGUUGGAAACGACUGCUAAUACCGCAUAAUACUGUCGAAUGGCAUCAUUUGACAGUCAAAGAUUUAUUGCUGAAAGAUGGCCUCGCGUCUGAUUAGCUAGUUGGUGGGGUAACGGCCCACCAAGGCGACGAUCAGUAGCCGGACUGAGAGGUUGACCGGCCACAUUGGGACUGAGAUACGGCCCAG
rnacentral:rRNA from 1 species